UAUAUAUAAUGAGGCUCUUUUCUCUCUUCUCAAGGCAUACACGUAUGCAAAUCAUUAAGUGUGUGGAUCCCAUUUAUUGUUUGGUUUCUGGUUUAUUUUUGUUCGGAUGGUUUUUUGAUUGGGCCGGUUAAGUUUGAUUCGAUUGUGAUUGUCGACGCUUCCGUUUCCUUCGCUUUUGAUCUAUAUAUAUCAGCGUCUUGAGUGGAUGAUUGACCUCAGAAUCUUUGUCGGUUUAUUAUUUUCUAAAUCGCAAAAAGUUUCUUAGAGAUGGCUUCAUCCGAAGUUGUUCUUGCGCCUCCACCUUCCAUGCUCUCCGAUUGGGUAGAUCUGCCCAGAUCAUUGUUGGUCGUCUCCUCCGUUUUUGGGUCUCGAAAAAAUCAGGAAGCAAGGUGAAUUCAUGGGAAUCACUCUCCUCUUCUUUGACGAGAAGAUGUUGGGCAAAUUCAAUCUGUCCAAGUUCGGACUUGAAGGACGCUACCGUUACGACCUGAGCUGGGGACUCAUCAGCUCAGGUGAUAGGACACAGACAGUGAUGGUGGCACUACAGUGAAUCCCAAAAUAUUUGUAGGUAACCUAUACCUCAACUCAACUCCAUCGAUCAAAUUUUAUUUCCCCGCCCUUCAAGCCAUCUCCGAGUUCACAGCCAGCUUAGAAGGACCAGUCCGACAAGCUUUUCAAUGUAUCGAUACCAAAAAAGGGAUAAAAAAAGGAAUUCGUCUCAAUAGGAAAGCUAAACAAGUUCAUUUCCAAUUCUAAUGAGCAGACACAUGAAGCUGAAUUUAUUUGCAAGGCUUGGGUUGUUGAUGUCCUGCAACAAUGGGUGGUCUUUCGUCUCUUGCACUGGCUGCAGCAGGAAGCUAGACAAAGAUGAGACUUCUCUCCGUUGCAUCCGUUAUGUUAAUCCCAACGCCACCGGCGUACUCAAAUAAAUGGUGGUGGCAGCGUGGAACUCCCACAAUGCCUUAAAGAUCUUGGUGGACAAGAUUUUGUCUUCCAGCUACGUGUGACACCAUUCAAUUUUACCCCAAGCCACCACUUUCAAGACCAGUGCAGCUGAUUUUUUUUCUGGUGGAAGGUGGUGAAGCAUCGGCUACGGGCAGCAACAUGACUGGAGGUGAAGAGAAAGAACCAAAUCCAUCCGAUGCUGGAGGCAAAGGGAGUAGCCGUAAACGUCUCCGUGAGUGAAGUUACAAAGCUGUCGCAACGUCAACCCACUUCUGCUUUCUUUUCUUUCCAUUUCGUUACGUACUAUGCUUUUUUAUCUUCGGACUUUGCAUGAGUUUUCAUAUUUGAAGGGUUUUGUUUUAUCAAGACACUUAUGAUUUGGAUAUUUAUCAAAAAUAGGUCGACGUAAUUUUUAGCA